UUCUUGCACUUUUAAUCGCGUUGCACGUUCUCCGUUUUCCUUCGAUCGUGUCUACAGAACCGGAACAGAGCACGAGCGAGGCGAGGUAGAGCACGAACGAGGCGAAGCAGAUGAGAUUGAAGGCGGAUUUCAAUCUUCUGGGCUUUGGUUCUUUUCUUUUCGUUUCUUUUCUUUCGUUUUUCUGAUCUUUGUGGGUCUCUGAUUGUUGUUUUUUUAAGGGGUUCUUUGCUUCUUGCAGAAAUUGGUGGAAUGAUAUGGGGUUUAGGGUUUCUGCCGCUCCUUCAAUCAUCAGGAAUGUUUUCGUUUUGCUAAUUUCAGCUUUCACCCACUACCAUUGCAUGUUUUGUUCUCUGUCAUCUGAAUCCUUGAUCUUUCAACGUUUUAACUUAUAUUCGAUUAUCCAUCUUUAUUGUUUCAGAUUAAUCUGAACCAGAGCGUGUCAUUUCCGUCAAUCCGUCAUCAUCGUCCAGAAGAUGAUGUGAAAUGGAGGAUCAUUACCAUUUAAGGACACGUUGAGUUGAAUCAGAUGUAAAUUUAAUUGGUGAAGGUCUGAAUGAGUGGCAGCGGCGCGAAGGAAGACAGGAUGGCUGGAUCGAAAUGCAACGGGACCAGCGAAAUGAGUUUCUGCAGCCCCAUUCCAUUGAGAGAAGAUCCUCAAUCAGGUUGAACAAUGAUGUGUACGGAACUUUGGACACUCAUUUUCAUUUUGCCAUUCAGAACCUCUUCUCCUCUGCCGCUCAGCUAAGCCCACCAUCUGAUUACGUCGUCAAGGUCUUCCUUCUGAUGAGAUCGACGAUCAAUUUCGUUCUUAGUUAAGUGGUUUUUUGUGCACUAGCUUGCUUGGCUUCUUCCCACAUCUAUGUGUUUCAAUCUCUAUCUCUGUAAAUAGUGUUGCUUUUAUUUUUUAACUGUGCAAGUUGGGUACUGAGUGAUAUCUUUGAAAAGUUUUAAAUUUACAUUUCUCUCAUUACUUUGUGCUUAUAGUUUUCCUUUUUCAUUUCUCUCAUGGUAUAUAACUAAAAGCCAUUUUGUCAUUUGGAACUCAAGGAUGAUUAUGACAUUGG